UAGCGUAGGGGGCUAGCGUUGUCCGGAAUCAUUGGGCGUAAAGAGCGUGUAGGCGGCCCGGUAAGUCCGCUGUGAAAGUCGGGGGGCUCAACCCUCGAAUGCCGGUGGAUACUGUCGGGCUAGAGUGCGGAAGAGGCGAGUGGAAUUCCUGGUGUAGCGGUGAAAUGCGCAGAUAUCAGGAGGAACACCGAUUGCGAAGGCAGCUCGCUGGGACGUAACUGACGCUGAGACGCGAAAAGCGUGGGGAGCAAACAGG
rnacentral:rRNA from 1 species